GACGAACGCUGGCGGCGUGCUUAACACAUGCAAGUCGAGCGGUAAGGCUCCUUCGGGAGUCCACGAGCGGCGCACGGGUGCGUAACACGUGAGUAAUCUGCCCUUCACUUCGGGAUAACCACCGGAAACGGUGGCUAAUACCGAAUACGACCAGUCUUCGCAUGAGGUGCUGGUGGAAAGUCUUUUCGGUGAAGGAUGUGCUCGCGGCCUAUCAGCUUGUUGGUGGGGUAAUGGCCUACCAAGGCUUCGACGGGUAGCCGGCCUGAGAGGGUGACCGGCCACACUGGGACUGAGACACGGCCCAGACUCCUACGGGAGGCAGCAGUGGGGAAGAUUGGACAAUGGGCGAAAGCCUGAUCCAGCAACGCCGCGUGAGGGAUGACGGCCUUCGGGUUGUAAACCUCGUUCAGUACCGACGAAGCGCCCUGUCGGGUGGUGACGGUAGGUACAGAAGAAGGACCGGCCAACUACGUG
rnacentral:rRNA from 1 species